CAGAAAGUAGUUUAUUAAAAAUAAAAGUUUUGGAAAUUUUUGAUACUUUCAAAGGUCUUUCUGA
rnacentral:tRNA from 1 species